rnacentral:ncRNA from 1 species
AGCCGGGUACGCAACUGGCGAUAGGCGCGCAACCCCGACCCACCGAGGCCGGGGGCUGGCGCUGACGUGGCCCCCCUGACCCAUUCAAUUCGAUCGGCGCAGGGACAACCACUGGGAAGCGUACCGCCGGCAACUUGAAGUUUCCGGCGUUCAGCCGUUCGCCUGGGCAGCCCUU